rnacentral:tRNA from 1 species
AAAAUCCGUUGACUUUAAAAAUCGNGAGGGUUCAAGUCCC